UACAGAGGGGGCAAGCGUUGUUCGGAAUUACUGGGCGUAAAGGGCGCGUAGGCGGCCUUCUAAGUCGAACGUGAAAUCCCCGGGCUCAACCCGGGAACUGCGUCCGAUACUGGAAGGCUUGAAUCCGGGAGAGGGAUGCGGAAUUCCAGGUGUAGCGGUGAAAUGCUUAGAUAUGACAUAGAACACCAAUUGCGAAGGCAGCUCGCUACACUAUUAUUGACACUGAGGCACGAAAGCGUGGGGAUCAAACAGG
rnacentral:rRNA from 1 species